GAGUUUGAUCCUGGCUCAGAUUGAACGCUGGCGGCAGGCCUAACACAUGCAAGUCGAGCGGAUGAAGGGAGCUUGCUCCUGGAUUCAGCGGCGGACGGGUGAGUAAUGCCUAGGAAUCUGCCUGGGUAGUGGGGAGUAACGUCCGGAACGGGACGCUAAUACCGCAUACGUCCUGAGGGAGGAAAGUGGGGGAGUCUUCGGACCUCACGCUAUCAGAUGAGCCUAGGUCGGAUUAGCUAGUUGGUGGGGUAAAGGCCUACCAAGGCGACGAUCCGUAACUGGUCUGAGAGGAUGAUCAGUCACACUGGAACUGAGACACGGUCCAGACUCCUACGGGAGGCAGCAGUGGGGAAUAUUGGACAAUGGGCGGAAAGCCUGAUCCAGCCAUGCCGCGUGUGUGAAGAAGGUCUUCGGAUUGUAAAGCACUUUAAGUUGGGAGGAAGGGGCAGUAAGUUAAUACCUUGCUGUUUUGACGUUACCAACAGAAUAAGCACCGGCUAACUUCGUGCAGCCGCCGCCGUAAC
rnacentral:rRNA from 1 species